AGAGCGAACGCUGGCGGCAGGCCUAACACAUGCAAGUCGAACGAACUCUUCGGAGUUAGUGGCGGACGGGUGAGUAACACGUGGGAACGUGCCUUUAGGUUCGGAAUAACUCAGGGAAACUUGUGCUAAUACCGAAUGUGCCCUUCGGGGGAAAGAUUUAUCGCCUUUAGAGCGGCCCGCGUCUGAUUAGCUUGUUGGUGGGGUAAUGGCCCACCAAGGCUACGAUCAGUAGCUGGUCUGAGAGGAUGACCAGCCACAUUGGGACUGAGACACGGCCCAAACUCCUACGGGAGGCAGCAGUGGGGAAUCUUGCGCAAUGGGCGAAAGCCUGACGCAGCCAUGCCGCGUGUAUGAUGAAGGUCUUAGGAUUGUAAAAAUACUUUCAACCGGUGAAGAUAAAUGACUGUAGCCGAGAAAGAAGCCCCGGCUAACUCGUGCCAGCAAGCCGC
rnacentral:rRNA from 1 species